AAACCAAGUAACUCGAGAUAUUGUGGAGAACUGGUCAGUAGAAGAACAAGCAAUGGAAAUGGAUUUGAGUGUCCUUCAACAGGUAGAAGAUCUAGAAAGGAGAGUUGCAUCAGCAAGUUUGCAAGUGAAGGGUUGGAUGUGUCCAGAGCCUGCAUCAGAAAGGGAGGACUUGGUAUAUUUUGAACAUAAGUCAUUUACUAAAUUGUGCAAGGAGCAUGAUGGAGAAUUUACUGGCGAAGACGAAAGCAGUGCACAUGCACUAGAACGGAAGAAUGACAACCCCCUAGAUAUAGCUGUAACCAGGCUGGCUGAUUUGGAGCGGAACAUUGAAAGAAGUACUGCCAAAUCUGUCGAAAGGGAGAUAAUGAAGAACUGCUUCUUCUUUGUGAUGGCUGUGACAAAGGCUGUCAUACCUACUGCCAUAGACCCAAGAUUACAACAAUCCCAGAUGGAGACUGGUUUUGUCCAGCUUGCAUUGCUAAGGCAAGUGGUCAAACUCUAAAAAUCAAAAAACUUCAUGUCAAAGGAAAAAAGACUAAUGAGUCAAAGAAAGGCAAGAAGGUAACUUUAACAGGAGAUACUGAAGAUGAAGACUCUGCAUCUACAAGUAGUUCACUAAAAAGAGGAAACAAAGACCU
rnacentral:sRNA from 1 species